rnacentral:rRNA from 1 species
CCUACGGGCGGCAGCAGUAAGGAAUAUUGGUCAAUGGACGCAAGUCUGAACCAGCCAUGCCGCGUGGAGGAUGAAGGUCCUCUGGAUUGUAAACUUCUUUUAUUUGGGAAGAAACUCCCGAUUUCCAUCUGGAUUGACGGUACCAGAUGAAUACGCACCGGCUAACUCCGUGCCAGCAGCCGCGGUAAUACGGCGGGUGCAAGCGUUAUCCGGAUUCACUGGGUUUAGAGGGGCAGUAGAGUGACAGGUAAAAUCUCCGGGCUUAACCCGGAAACUGCCAUUGAUACUAUUUGUCUUGAAUACUCUGGAGGUGAGCGGAAUAUGUCAUGUAGCGGUGAAAUGCUUAGAUAUGACAUAGAACACCCAUUGCGAAGGCAGCUCACUACGGAAAUAUUGACGCUGAGGCACGAAAGCGUGGGGAUCAAACAGGAUUAGAUACCCCUGUAGUC